CAAAAGGUAGUUUAAUUAAAAAUAGUAAUUUUGGGGAUUACAGUUCAUUUUUGUCUUUUG
rnacentral:tRNA from 1 species